GAUGAACGCUGGCGGCGUGCCUAAUACAUGCAAGUCGAGCGAACAGAUGAGGAGCUUGCUCCUCUGACGUUAGCGGCGGACGGGUGAGUAACACGUGGAUAACCUACCUAUAAGACUGGGAUAACUUCGGGAAACCGGAGCUAAUACCGGAUAAUAUAUUGAACCGCAUGGUUCAAUAGUGAAAGACGGUUUUGCUGUCACUUAUAGAUGGAUCCGCGCCGCAUUAGCUAGUUGGUAAGGUAACGGCUUGCCAAGGCAACGAUGCGUAGCCGACCUGAGAGGGUGAUCGGCCACACUGGAACUGAGACACGGUCCAGACUCCUACGGGAGGCAGCAGUAGGGAAUCUUCCGCGAUGGGCGAAAGCCUGACGGAGCAACGCCGCGUGAGUGAUGAAGGUCUUCGGAUCGUAAAACUCUGUUAUUAGGGAAGAACAAAUGUGUAAGUAACUAUGCACGUCUUGACGGUACCUAAUCAGAAAGCCACGGCUAACUACGUG
rnacentral:rRNA from 1 species